rnacentral:rRNA from 1 species
UACGUAGGGUGCGAGCGUUAAUCGGAAUUACUGGGCGUAAAGCGUGCGCAGGCGGUUGUGCAAGACAGAUGUGAAAUCCCCGGGCUUAACCUGGGAAUUGCAUUUGUGACUGCACGGCUAGAGUGUGUCAGAGGGGGGUAGAAUUCCACGUGUAGCAGUGAAAUGCGUAGAUAUGUGGAGGAAUACCGACGGCGAAGGCAGCCCCCUGGGAUAACACUGACGCUCAUGCACGAAAGCGUGGGGAGCAAACAGGAUUAGAUACCCUGGUAGUCCACGCCCUAAACGAUGUCUACUAGUUGUCGGGUCUUAAUUGACUUGGUAACGCAGCUAACGCGUGAAGUAGACCGCCUGGGGAGUACGGUCGCAAGAUUAAAACUCAAAGGAAUUGACGGGGACCCGCACAAGCGGUGGAUGAUGUGGAUUAAUUCGAUGCAACGCGAAAAACCUUACCUACCCUUGACAUGUACGGAACCCUGCCGAGAGGUGGGGGUGCUCGAAAGAGAGCCGUAACACAGGUGCUGCAUGGCUGUCGUCAGCUCGUGUCGUGAGAUGUUGGGUUAAGUCCCGCAACGAGCGCAACCCUUGUCAUUAGUUGCUACGAAAGGGCACUCUAAUGAGACUGCCGGUGACAAACCGGAGGAAGGUGGGGAUGACGUCAAGUCCUCAUGGCCCUUAUGGGUAGGGCUUCACACGUCAUACAAUGGUACAUACAGAGGGCCGCCAACCCGCGAGGGGGAGCUAAUCCCAGAAAGUGUAUCGUAGUCCGGAUUGUAGUCUGCAACUCGACUACAUGAAGUUGGAAUCGCUAGUAAUCGCGGAUCAGCAUGUCGCGGUGAAUACGUUCCCGGGUCU